rnacentral:pre_miRNA from 15 species
AUCUAUCAUGUGUAUUUGCGCAUUUUGGUCGUGUGAUUUGUGGCAAAGUGAUGAGCUAUGAUUCCAUCCCCUUGUUGCAAACCUCACGCUGAAGGUGACGCAUAGCAGCAACAAUUGAA